rnacentral:misc_RNA from 1 species
CGUCCUAUAUUUAAAAGUCGAUAAAUCUUCAACAAAUUCUUUCCGACCGAAGGGAGUGAAGUUUUUGAGCCUAGUGGAGACGAAUAGGAGAGGAGCGAAGACAGUGAAACAAAGCAGAGAGAGGAUCAGAAUCCUCUGCCAUUGAUUGAUUUUCUUCAUCAAUAUCAAACCUAUAAUGCGUUAUCACCAAAAACUGAAUCCUUGAUCUCACGGUUCUCUUUCUCGAUCAAUCGUUCUCCAAAAAGAACAUUUCUCGGAUUCAAACCGAUAAUAUUCGAUACUUGAACAGCAAGGCUAGGGUUUCAGGUCUUCUUUUCUAAGUGUGUUUUGCGUUUGUAGAGAAAGAGGAUGGUAGGUGUUAGAGAGCUUUUUCC